rnacentral:rRNA from 1 species
CCUACGGGAGGCAGCCGUGGGGAAUAUUGGGCAAUGGGCGCAAGCCUGACCCAGCAACGCCGCGUGAAGGAAGAAGGCUUUCGGGUUGUAACCUUCUUUUCUCAGGGACGAAGCAAGUGACGGUACCUGAGGAAUAAGCCACGGCUAACUACGUGCCAGCAGCCGCGGGAAUACGUCGGUGGCAAGCGUUAUACGGAUUUACUGGGUGUAAAGGGCGUGUAGGCGGGACUGCAAGUCAGAUGUGAAAACACUGGGCUCAACCUGUGGCCUGCAUUGGAAACUGUAGUUCGUGAGUACUGUGGAGGCAGACGGAAUUCCUAGUGUAGCGGUGAAAUGCGGAGAUAUUAGGAGGAACACCAGUGGCGAAGGCGGUCUGCUGGACAGCAACUGACGCUGAGGCGCGAAAGCGUGGGGAGCAAACAGGAUUAGAUACCCCUGUAGUC